GAUAAGAUGGCUGAGGUAAGGCGAUAAAUUGUAAAUUUAUUAACGAGUUAAUAACUUUCUUAUUA
rnacentral:tRNA from 1 species